rnacentral:rRNA from 1 species
CAACUCGACUACAUGAAGCUGGAAUCGCUAGUAAUCGCGAAUCAGAAUGUCGCGGUGAAUACGUUCCCGGGUCUUGUACACACCGCCCGUCACACCAUGGGAGUCGGGAAUGCCCGAAGUCAGUGACCCAACCGGAAGGAGGGAGCUGCCGAAGGCAGGCUCGAUAACUGGGGUGAAGUCGUAACAAGGUAAC